GCCCCACAACGGCUUCCUGGCGUGGGCGCGAUAACAAUUAAUGGAGCA
rnacentral:ncRNA from 1 species